CGAGCUAGCAAUUCAAGUCUGGCGUCAAAUCCCAGGGCUCAACCAUGGACAGGCGGUAGAAACUACCAAGUUGUAGUACGGAAGGGGCAGAGGGAAUUUCCGGUGGAGCGAUCAAAUGCAUUAAGAUCGGAAAGAACACCAACGGUGAAAGCACUCUGUUGGGCCGACACUGACAUUAAGAGAUGAAAUCUAGGGGAGCAAAAGGGAUUAGAGACCCUAGUACCUAGCAGUAAACGAUGGAUACUAGUUGAUGCCACUACUGGAGAAUGGACCAUUCGUCCAGUAGUACCG
rnacentral:ncRNA from 1 species